rnacentral:piRNA from 1 species
UGGACACUGUGUCAACGGGAUCAGUGGUC